UUGGAGGGCAAGUCUGGUGCCAGCAGCCGCGGUAAUUCCAGCUCCAAUAGCGUAUAUUAAAGUUGUUGCAGUUAAAAAGCUCGUAGUUGAAUUUCGGGGUCAGUAGGUUGGUCAUGCCACUGGUAUGUACUGGUCUCACUGAUUCCUCCUUCCUGAUGAACUGUAAUGCCAUUAAUUUGGUGUUGCAGGGAAUCUGGACUGUUACUUUGAAAAAAUUAGAGUGUUUAAAGCAGGCUAACGCCUGAAUACAUUAGCAUGGAAUAAUGAAAUAGGACGUUCGAUCCUAUUUUGUUGGUUUCUAGGAUUGACGUAAUGAUUAAUAGGGAUAGUUGGGGGCAUUAGUAUUCAAUUGUCAGAGGUGAAAUUCUUGGAUUUAUUGAAGACUAACUACUGCGAAAGCAUUUGCCAAGGAUGUUUUCAUUAAUCAAGAACGAAAGUUAGGGGAUCGAAGACGAUCAGAUACCGUCGUAGUCUUAACCAUAAACUAUGCCGACUAGGGAUCGGAUGAUGUUAAUUUUUUAAUGACUCGUUCGGCGCCUUACGGGAAAC
rnacentral:rRNA from 1 species